CCAAUAGCGUAUAUUAAAGUUGUUGCAGUUAAAAAGCUCGUAGUUGAAUUUCGGGACCAAUUUGUUGGUCGUGCCUCGGUACGUACUGGUAUUAUUGGUUUCUCCCUUCUGAAGAACCUUGAUGUCAUUAAUUUGGUGUCUUGGGGAAUCAGGACUGUUACUUUGAAAAAAUUAGAGUGUUUAAAGCAGGCAUACGCUUGAAUACAUUAGCAUGGAAUAAUGAAAUAGGACGUUUGAUUCUAUUUUGUUGGUUUCUAGGAUCGACGUAAUGAUUAAUAGGGAUAGUUGGGGGCAUUAGUAUUCAAUUGUCAGAGGUGAAAUUCUUGGAUUUAUUGAAGACUAACUACUGCGAAAGCAUUUGCCAAGGAUGUUUUCAUUAAUCAAGAACGAAAGUUAGGGGAUCGAAGACGAUCAGAUACCGUCGUAGUCUUAACCAUAAACUAUGCCGACUAGGGAUCGGAUGAUGUUAAUUUUUUAAUGACUCAUUCGGCGCCUUACA
rnacentral:rRNA from 1 species